UUCCUGGAGGACUAGUGGUUAGGCCUCGGCGCUCUCACCGCCGUGACCCGGGGUCGAUUCCCGGCCAGGGAA